AUUGAACGCUGGCGGCAGGCCUAACACAUGCAAGUCGAGCGGAUGAAGGGAGCUUGCUCCUGGAUUCAGCGGCGGACGGGUGAGUAAUGCCUAGGAAUCUGCCUGGUAGUGGGGGAUAACGUCCGGAAACGGGCGCUAAUACCGCAUACGUCCUGAGGGAGAAAGUGGGGGAUCUUCGGACCUCACGCUAUCAGAUGAGCCUAGGUCGGAUUAGCUAGUUGGUGGGGUAAAGGCCUACCAAGGCGACGAUCCGUAACUGGUCUGAGAGGAUGAUCAGUCACACUGGAACUGAGACACGGUCCAGACUCCUACGGGAGGCAGCAGUGGGGAAUCUUGGACACUGGGCGCAAGCCUGCUCCCGCCCUGCCGCGUGUGUGAAGAAGGUCUUCGGAUUGUAAAGCACUUUAAGUUGGGAGGAAGGGCAGUAAGUUAAUACCUUGCUGUUUUGACGUUACCCACCGAAUCAGCACCGGCUCACUUCGUG
rnacentral:rRNA from 1 species